GACGAACGCUGGCGGCGUGCUUAACACAUGCAAGUCGAACGGAAAGGCCCUGCUUUUGUGGGGUGCUCGAGUGGCGAACGGGUGAGUAACACGUGAGUAACCUGCCCUUGACUUUGGGAUAACUUCAGGAAACUGGGGCUAAUACCGGAUAGGAGCUCCUGCUGCAUGGUGGGGGUUGGAAAGUUUCGGCGGUUGGGGAUGGACUCGCGGCUUAUCAGCUUGUUGGUGGGGUAGUGGCUUACCAAGGCUUUGACGGGUAGCCGGCCUGAGAGGGUGACCGGCCACAUUGGGACUGAGAUACGGCCCUGACUCCUACGGGAGGCAGCAGUGGGAAAUAUUGCACAAUGGGAGGAAGCCUGAUGCAGCAACGCCGCGUGCGGGAUGACGGCCUUCGGGUUGUAAACCGCUUUCGCCUGUGACGAAGCGUGAGUGACGGUAAUGGGUAAAGAAGCACCGGCUAACUACGUG
rnacentral:rRNA from 1 species